GCAGGGAAAGGCCGCUGGCUCGGCAGGGCUCACUGGGACAAUGUCCCGGAACAACACCCCUGCCUUUGCUCGUUGGUUUGUAGAACUUAAGUCCUAGAAAUGAGUGUCCCCCAAAACGGAGCUUCCACAGGAGUGAAUGCUUAAAGAAACUGCACCACAAUGUGUAUAAUGAAGUUGGGAGUUAAACACUGGGGAGCUAUUCAGGAUUUGACUGUGUGUAUAAAGGAGGCCUUGUCCCAUCAGAAGCCAACCGAUGACUAAAGCAAGGAACAAAGCAAACCUGGAGCACCUGCAGAACAGAGAAUACCAUCGAAUGAAGCAAGCAGCUGAAAAAAAGAGAACCAUGAGUUACAUCCCCUUUCACCUCCUAGCAGUAUAUAAACUCUAAGGUCAAACCUAGACAGAACUGUUGAGUGUGUGACAAGUUUUCUCCAAGAACCUGUUUUUAAUCCAGCCUGUGAGAUCUCUGCACAAGCUCCACACUCCUGCAUACUCCACAGUUCUCCUUGGCUGGGGUGUGGGACAAACACAAGACCAAUUCUUCAGCCAAGACUCAUCUCUAUGGCAAAGACAAUGAACUAAGAAUGCACUCACUGUGUCAGCAGGUCCCAUACAUUAGAAGCACUGCAAGGGUUAAUAAAAGAAAUGGCAGGAUAUAUUGAGCUUCAAUUACAGCUUGUAUACUGAAAGUAAGGAUCCUUAUUCAGGAGUGAGUCCUACUCAAUGAAACACGAAUUUUAAGUAAAUGCAAAUAGCCUACACUGAAAAUGGGAAAAAUAAACAAAAUAUCAUUUAAUUUAAUUUGAGUGCCCAAGCAAGUAAUUUUCAAGUCUGUUUAAUGUUUAGGAAGAAAAAGCCUUAGUUCAGUCUCUGCAAAUGGUUUUAGUUACUUCUGUGACUUUCCAUCUCUUGAGGAUAAUCUACUCCUAAUAAGGACAAUUGCUUAGAUUUAUUACCCCACUGAGGUCUUGUUAAAGAUCUAACAAAAAUCCUAUUUAAAUGAAAAGGACAAUAGAAUUUAAAGUCAGUGUAGAGUUUAAUUAAAACCUGAAACAGAAUCAAUGUCUUCAUGCAUUAGAAAAGCAAAAACAGAUUUCAAAGCUGUUAAACUACGUGUAAUUGGCAUAAACUAUCCACUGAGCCAAAAUUAAAAAAAAAGGCAGACUAUCAUAUGGAAAUUGAAGUCUAUUAAUAAAUAAAAAACCUGAUACAUGUGCAUAGCCCUAUAUUUUUGCAAGCAUUUUUUUAUUUGCCUAAUUUGCUAAGCAUAUCUUAGAGCAAACAUGAAACAAGCUAGCUGUUAAGUUGAACAAAUCCAAAAGGGACAAAAAGAGAUGGAUUGAAAUCAAUGCAUUAACAUGAACCAGCAUUUAAAAACGUUUCAUAAUGUUCCCAAAGAGAGCAUGUAAACUGCAGCAGUCUCAGUGCAAAACUGCUGUAAUCUGUGUUCCCAUGUAGUCAUUAUUCAUACAUGGGAGUAUACAGCUCCUAAGUCAUUUUUCAUGCAUGAAUAGUUUAAAACCCCAAAUCACUGACAUAAAUCCACAAGGGAGACCUCCCUUUUGAAAGUUAACUUCUAGAGGCUCUGGGAAGGAAUGUGAAGCCAGAUACCAGUCCAUGACAAACUUUUCUGUAGGGAAGGAUCUGCGUGCAGCCCCACUCCGACCACAGGCACACCCAAGCCCUCCCCAGCCCCAGGGGCACCCCGGCCUCUGGGGUCCCGUCUGCAGAGCCAGCGCCAGCGAGGCCGCAGAGCCAGAGCCAGCGAGGCCGCAGAGCCCAGCCAGGUCUCGCACCGCUCCCUUCCCCGGCCGGCAUGCAGCGGGACCUCGCUCACCGGGAAGGGAGGUCAGCGCAAUGGCUGCUCCAGGCAUGCACUUUCCUUUGCAGGAGAAAAUAAAUUCUGAGGCAAAACCUACCCCAUAACCUAUUUCUGCACUAAGGAAAGGGCUCUUUUCUUUCCCUUCCUUCCCACAGGAAGGGUAACGGUGCAGAGGAACUGCACACCGAGGCGCCCCAGGCAGCAGCGGCUGGAAAUGGUGCCUCGGCUCGGCCGUCCGCUCUGGCUGGCCCGGUUGUCACCCGAGAGUGACAAAGUAAGAGGAAGGAGGGAACUGCGGUGCUGAAGUGGGUCACACGACUCCCUCGUUUGGAAAAAUCCCGAAAGGAUGUUCUUUCACUACAGAUACAAAGCCUAGCACAAUUUCAAGGCAAUGAGGAAUGCUAUGAAGCUGGGAUGAAAUCUUCGGGUAUCCCAAGCCCUUUCAACCACCUCUACAGCUAACAAGCAGAACUACAUCUUGGGCUGGAUCAUGCUGGUUUCAUGUCUGACACCAACUCUACCUAUGGCUGCACUCACAGAUUUUUCAGUGAAUACUUACCCAGCUACAGCACCUGACACCAUAUCAGCCCAGCAUUUCCCAGCAUUUACAGGUAUGGAAGAAUGCAGAUAAAGUACUUUACUUCCUUCUGUGCAUCAUCCCACUCCAGGAAAGGAAACAAUUUCUCACAGGGCUUAAGUAAGCAAAAGGUGAGGCCUGCAAUUAACUAGGGCCACAAAUACACAUGAUCAUUACCUCAGUGGAGAGGUAAACGUUUCAGCACUAACACCUGAAAACUUGAAAUUUGGUGACGUAUUUUCAAAUCAGCCUCAGAGUGACAAACAACCCAGCGGAAAAUAUAUAGCUACUUUGGAAAGUGUUAAUGCAGAUUAAAUCCAGUCAAUAGGAGAAGUCAGUUAUUCAUAAAUUCUGGUUCUCAGAUCUGCUCUUCCAGAAGAAAAGCACUUUAAGAAUGCAACAGAUGCUUUGCUUUUGAGCACACUCCAGCAGAUCUCAGUGCUGCUCAUAUACACCUGAACGAGCAGGAGUUCAUUCAAGGGAGGGAGCCGGCCUGUCCCACAUCUGUUAUAACUUACACACCCAGGACUAACACCCAGUUAUCUCUAUAAAGUUAAAAGCAACCAAACAAAACCAGGAAGAGGUCAGGUGUAAGAGCAGUUAGCUCUUUUUCAUCCUGUCCACAAGGACCCCAAAAUAGCCAUUGUGUUUAGGUAGAUGUUUUUCUGUUUGAUAAGCACACACCCAAUCCAGAUUUAUAAAUGCAAAUGUUACUGGAAUGGGAGGAUAGAAUUGUACUUUAAAUCACGACAAGUCUGAUCUAUUGGAGAGCUAGAAUUAAUAAAAAAUUAAUGUUUCCAUUAAAAGUAAUGUUUCCAUUGUGUCACUGCAGCGCAAAUCUUUCUUUCCAGUCCUCCUUCCAAUCUGAAAAU